UUUUUUUGAUGGUAGUGCUAGGGAUGGGACCCAUGGCCUCCGGCAUUCUAGGUACCCACUCUAUUCUCAGCUAUAGCGCCAGCCCCAUCAUUAUUAAUUUAUUUGGUACCCAGGGAUUGAACCCAGGGAGCUUAACCAGUGAGCCACAUUCCCAGCCCUUUUUUGUAUUUGACCUAGAGACAGGGUCUCACUAAGUUGCUUAAGGCCUUGCUAAGUUGCUGAGGCUGAGUUGAACUCUCCAUCUCCCUGCCUCAGCCUCUGAGCCGUGGGAUUACAGGCGUGCGUCACUGUGCCUGGUUCCAUAUAUUUUUUUAAUGUCCUCCUUUUAAGAUGUCAGGUUUAAUCUCCACUCUUCUUCUAAGCAUGAGCUAUACUUGGUGACUCACCUCUAACAAACAGAACAAGGCAGAGGUGAGCGGAGUGUGACUUCUGGCAGUAAGUCAUGGAAGACAUUGCAGCGUCAGUCUUUCUCUCUUGGAUCCACAGCUCUGAGGGAAAACAUCUGACAUGUAGUGGGAAUACUCAAGCAGCUCUAAAGAAAGACUCUUGAGAGAAAUGGACGUCUCCUAACCAAGGACAAAGAUUCUUUGUAUGGACAAACUUUCAGUCAGGCUCCUGAACCUUCUCCUCGCCCAUGUGUGCUUCUUAUAAAAUCCAGUUUUAGCAAAGAACCCUGCUAAGUCAGUUUAGCAGGAACUCCCUUCACUCAGUAUCUGAUCAACCUCAAUAUCUGAUCAGGUUCCUCACCCUCCACCAUCCCCCAGGUGAUGUCUGAUCACCCUGGCCUGUCAUAAGCAAGAAUCUUGUUAGGUCUGUUUAGCCAGAAUCCCCCUCUCCCUGUUGUUUCCUCUUUGUCCUUUUCUAUGCCCUGACACUCACCCUGCUCUUUGGCUAUAAAUUCCCAUCUGCCCAUGCUGUACUCAGGGUUGAUCCCAAUCUCUUUCUCCUACUACAAGACCCCAUUGCAAUGAUCCCUGUAUCAAUCAUGAUGUUUCUAAAUAAAGUCCACCUUACUAUGCCUUAACAAGUA
rnacentral:lncRNA from 1 species